GUGAGGACUCCGGAGGUGGAGGGUGGUACUGCUGCUGCCAGGGUACUGUCUCAGCUCCCCUCUCCCCCCAUCUCCUCUUUCCUCAG
rnacentral:pre_miRNA from 1 species